rnacentral:rRNA from 1 species
GGCGAACGCUGGCGGCGUGCCUAAUACAUGCGAGUCGAACGCUGAAGGAGGAGCUUGCUUCUCUGGAUGAGUUGCGAACGGGUGAGUAACGCGUAGGUAACCUGCCUGGUAGCGGGGGAUAACUAUUGGAAACGAUAGCUAAUACCGCAUAAGAGUAGAUGUUGCAUGACAUUUGCUUAAAAGGUGCAAUUGCAUCACUACCAGAUGGACCUGCGUUGUAUUAGCUAGUUGGUGGGGUAACGGCUUACCAAGGCGACGAUACAUAGCCGACCUGAGAGGGUGAUCGGCCACACUGGGACUGAGACACGGCCCAGACUCCUACGGGAGGCAGCAGUAGGGAAUCUUCGGCAAGGGACGGAAGUCUGACCGAGCAACGCCGCGUGAGUGAAGAAGGGUUUCGGAUCGUAAAGCUCUGUUGUAAGAGAAGAACGAGUGUGAGAGUGGAAAGUUCACACUGUGACGGUAUCUUACCAGAAAGGGACGGCUAACUACGUG